rnacentral:rRNA from 1 species
AACAGGAUUAGAUACCCUGGUAGUCCACGCCGUAAACGAUGGAUACUAGCUGUUGGAGGUAUCGACCCCUUCAGUAGCGAAGCUAACGCGUUAAGUAUCCCGCCUGUGGAGUACGGUCGCAAGACUAAAACAUAAAGGAAUUGACGGGGACCCGCACAAGCGGUGGAGCGUGUUCUUUAAUUCGAUGAUAAACGAAGAACCUUACCAGGGCUUGACAUCCCGAGAACUACUCCGAAAGGAGUGGGUGCUUUAUUGAACUCGGUGACAGGUGCUGCAUGGCCGUCGUCAGCUCGUGUCGUGAGAUGUUUGGUUAAGUCCAUUAACGAGCGCAACCCUAUGAAUAGUUGGAUUUUUCUAUUCAGACUGCCCCGGCAACGGGGAGGAAGGAGGGGAUGAUGUCAGGUCAGUAUUGCCCUUACGUCCUGGGCUAGAAACGCGCUACAAUGGCCGGUACAAUGCGCAGCAAAGCGGUGACGUGGAGCAAAUCGCAUCAAAGCCGGUCCCAGUUCGGAUAGCAGGCUGAAACUCGCCUGCUUGAAGCCGGAAUCGCUAGUAAUCGCAGGUCAGCAAACUGCGGUGAAUACGUUCCCGGGUCUUGUACACACCGCCCGUCAAACCAUGAAAGUCACCGACACCCGAAGUCCAGUACGUCUGGCCUAAGGUGGGGGGGAUGAUUGGGGUUAAGUCGUAACAAGGUAACCAAUCACUAGU